rnacentral:rRNA from 1 species
AUGAGGGCGUCACUAUCGGAGCCAAAGACUAUUCAGCGAUGGGUACCUCCUGAAACUGGAUGGGUAAAGAUCAACUCCGACGGCGCGGUCUCCAGGCACAGGGAGAAAGGAGGGGGUGGAGCGGUUCUUCGCGAUCACCAAGCGGCAUUUCGCGCGAGACUGUGCCACUUCUUCCCAAAUAUAGUUGAUCCUGAGAUGGUUGAGGUGUUAGCUUGCAGGCAAGGAAUUCGAAUGGCGAUUGAUCUAAAUUACAGUCGGGUGCAUGUUGAGCUUGAUUGCUUGUCUUUGGUCAAGAAGCUUAACGACCCGCAGAAGGAUCUGUCUGCUGCCGGCUCAUGGGUGGAGGAGAUUAAAGCGAUGCUUCGGUCUACGGAGGAGUCCAAGGUGACUUGGAUUCGUCGGUCUGGGAAUGUAGCCGCUCAUAAACUAGCAAAAGUAGGGGUAGGGGAGAACCGCUCGGAGAUUUGGGUGGGCUCGCCACCAGAUUUUAUUUUAGAUGUAAUUUCAAACGACAUUCCUAGUUUCGGUUAA